GACGAACCGAGCGAACGUUGUUCGGAAUCACUGGGCUUAAAGGGUGCGUAGGCGGGCUGCCAAGUUUGGGGUGAAAUCCUCCGGCUCAACCGGGGAAGUGCCUUGAAUACUGGCGGUCUCGAGGGAGGUAGGGGCGUGCGGAACUAACGGUGGAGCGGUGAAAUGCGUUGAUAUCGUUAGGAACUCCGGUGGCGAAGGCGGCAUCCUGGACCGAUACUGACGCUGAUGAGCGAAAGCCAGGGGAGCAAACGGG
rnacentral:rRNA from 1 species